rnacentral:rRNA from 1 species
CCUACGGGAGGCAGCAGUGAGGAAUAUUGGUCAAUGUGCGCGAGCCUGAACCAGCCAAGUCGCGUGAAGGAUGAAUGCUCUAUGGGUUGUAAACUUCUUUUAUAAAGGAAUAAAGUGAGGCACGUGUGCCUUUUUGUAUGUACUUUAUGAAUAAGCAUCGGCUAACUCCGUGCCAGCAGCCGCGGUAAUACGGAGGAUGCGAGCGUUAUCCGGAUUUAUUGGGUUUAAAGGGUGCGUAGAUGGGUUGUUAAGUCAGUGGUGAAAGUUUGUGGCUCAACCGUAAAAUUGCAGUUGAAACUGGCAGUCUUGAGUAUAGUUGAGGUAGGCGGAAUGCGUGGUGUAGCGGUGAAAUGCAUAGAUAUCACGAAGAACUCCGAUUGCGAAGGCAGCUUACUAAAC